GACAGAGGGGGCAAGCGUUGCUCGGAAUCACUGGGCGUAAAGGGCGCGUAGGCGGGAUGGCAAGUCGGUCGUGAAAUCCUUCGGCUCAACCGAAGAACGUCGGCCGAUACUGCCGUUCUUGAGGGAUGCAGAGGAGAUUGGAAUUCCCGGUGUAGCGGUGAAAUGUGUAGAGAUCGGGAGGAACACCGGUGGCGAAGGCGGAUCUCUGGGCAUCUCCUGACGCUGAGGCGCGAAAGCGUGGGGAGCAAACGGG
rnacentral:rRNA from 1 species